UACGUAGGUGGCAAGCGUUGUCCGGAUUUACUGGGCGUAAAGAGCGCGCAGGCGGUCGUUCAAGUCGCGUGUGAAAGCCCCCGGCUCAACUGGGGAGGGUCACGCGAUACUGAUCGACUGGAAGGCAGGAGAGGGUAGUGGAAUUCCCGGUGUAGUGGUGAAAUGCGUAGAUAUCGGGAGGAACACCAGUGGCGAAGGCGACUUUCUGGUCUGUAACUGACACUGAGGCGCGAAAGCGUGGGGAGCAAACAGG
rnacentral:rRNA from 1 species